rnacentral:lncRNA from 1 species
AUGGUUCCCAGGAAGAAGCAAUUAACCAGUGGGCCGGAAGGAGGGAGCAAUACAAAGAAGGCAAAAGACCCAGUUCAGCAGUGGGGAGCUCAUUUGCCAGCAACAUCACAGAAGAAUCCACCUUCCACGCUAUCCAAAACACUCUUGAAUACACAGAAAAACCCUAAGUGCCAUGAAAGAAACUGUUAAAUACAACUGUACAUGCCUCCCUGUGUGCUUUACUCUACAUAUAAGACCACAGUGAGUGUUUUAGGAAUGAACAUUUUGCAUUGUCUUCUUUGGGGCACAGAGAAAAAAAAAUAGUGAUUUUUUUUUUUUCCACUUAAUAAUCCUUUCUCAUGUACUUGGAACUUUGAAAGGGACUCUAAAGCUAAUUUUUUUACGUGAUUUCAUCUUGACCCUUAAAUACUAAUAUAUGGAUCUUGCCAAUUACUUUUUGUGUAUUUUUUCUUCACAAAAGGAAAUAGUGCUUCCACUAAUGAACAGGCUCCCAUACCUUAGGCCUUGAAGCGAUACCUGUCUUGAUUUGCAAUAUUUUGACAUUAUGUAAGUUCUUCCCAGGAGAACUAUUUUUUAAAGUUAGCGACUUAUUUUUGAAGAGGACACUCUCUUCAUUAAUCCAGACUUCACCCCUGCAUGCAUUCAACUACUUUCCCACCUUAACCAUCAGAGCGUGGAUCUUCUCACCAUAAUGUAAUUGAUGUUAUCAACUUUUCUGCUUGCUCCUCAGUCACUUCAGAAGAGGGCCAUUCUUUGGCUUUCUAAUUGAUAUUGAGGAGAAAGGAUUCUACACAGAGAAUUUUCAUCAGCAGCCUGGGUUUUCUGAGGGGAUGAUGUGAAUCCUGAGGAUGGUCCCAGAUGUCUUAGUAAAAAACCUCACCCAGUAGCCUGAAAGGACUCUACAAUUAUGGUAAAAUGAAUAUGUCUUAGAGAACAUGUAGCCAGCCUCCAGUCUCUCUGAAGUCAGCAAACAUAGACACCGGAUGGAGUGUUUGGGGAGCUGAAAUACGUAUGAUUCCAUCUGACUAUACAUGUACCAUGUGUUUCUUAACAUCAUGAAAGAAUCUGAAGCUAUUAAAAUAAAAGCUGUAUUAAUAGCUCAUUCAAACAUAGAAGGGUAAUUCCAAAGUUGGAAUAAAGAUUAAAGAUUAACAGAGUCAAGAGUCUGGGUUCAUCCUGUGAAUAAAAAAUACUUAUUAAUUUGAUAAAAUGUACCAGACAGUAUAAAGAAGUAACAAAUUACCACUUAGUAUUCCAAUUCUACAGUGUAACUGUUUUAUUGUUUCUGUAUUGUCUUGUUAAUACAAUUGGGUCUAGUCUGGUUUGUAAACAUAUAUGAAAUAUGCAUUUGGUAUUAUAAUGUAUUUAUUUUAAUGUACUGUAUAUGAUUUUAUGCCCUUUUUACAUUUGAUAAUAUAUUUAAUAACUAU